rnacentral:rRNA from 1 species
AGAGUUUGAUCAUGGCUCAGGAUGAACGCUAGCGGGAGGCUUAACACAUGCAAGUCGAGGGGUAUCCCGAGCAAUCGGGGGAGACCGGCGCACGGGUGAGUAACGCGUAUGCAACCUGCCCUUUACAGGGGGAUAGCCCGGAGAAAUCCGGAUUAAUACCCCAUGGUACUUUUAUGCCGCAUGGCAUAAAGGUUAAAGUAACAACGGUAAGGGAUGGGCAUGCGUGACAUUAGUUAGUUGGCGGGGUAACGGCCCACCAAGGCGACGAUGUCUAGGGGUUCUGAGAGGAUGAUCCCCCACACUGGUACUGAGACACGGACCAGACUCCUACGGGAGGCAGCAGUGAGGAAUAUUGGUCAAUGGGCGAGAGCCUGAACCAGCCAUCCCGCGUGAAGGAAGAAUGUACUAUGUAUUGUAAACUUCUUUUCUGCAAGACGAAUAUGCCUUACGAGCUAAGGCAAUGACGGUAUUGCAGGAAUAAGCAUCGGCUAACUCCGUGCCAGCAGCCGCGGUAAUACGGAGGAUGCGAGCGUUAUCCGGAUUCAUUGGGUUUAAAGGGUGCGUAGGCGGUUUGUUAAGUCAGUGGUGAAAUCCUGCGGCUCAACCGUAGAACAGCCAUUGAUACUGAUCGACUUGAAUAUAGUUGAGGCAGGCGGAAUGAGUAGUGUAGCGGUGAAAUGCUUAGAUAUUACUCAGAACACCGAUUGCGAAGGCAGCUUGCUAAGCUAUGAUUGACGCUGAGGCACGAAAGCGUGGGGAUCGAACAGGAUUAGAUACCCUAGUAGUCC